AGUGAACGCUGGCGGUAGGCCUAACACAUGCAAGUCGAACGGAAGCACAGUAAGAGCUUGCUAUUACGGGUGGCGAGUGGCGGACGGGUGAGGAAUAAAUCGGAAUCGACUUUUUCGUGGGGGGUAAAGAAGGGAGACAUACGCUAACAAAUCAUACGAACUACGGGUGAAAGCAGGGGAUCUUCGAAACUUGCGCGAUUGAAUGAGGCGAUGUCGGCUUGGCUUGUUGGCGGGGUAAUGGCCCACCAAGGCGACGAUCCGUAGGUGGUGCGCGAGGCUGAUCCGGCACCCUGUAACUGAGACCCGGACCCGGCCCCCACGGGAGGGAGCCGUAGGGGAUUUUGGGAAAUGGGCGCAAGCCUGAUCCAGCCAUACCGCGUGGGUGAAGAAGGCCUUCGGGUUGUAAAGCCCUUUUGUUGGGGAAGAAAAGCAGCAGGUUAAUACCCCGCUGUUCUGACGGUACCCAAAGAAUAAGCACCGGCUAACUUCGUG
rnacentral:rRNA from 1 species